AUUGAACGCUGGCGGCAUGCCUUACACAUGCAAGUCGAACGGUAACAGGUCUUCGGAUGCUGACGAGUGGCGAACGGGUGAGUAAUACAUCGGAACGUGCCUAGUAGUGGGGGAUAACUACUCGAAAGAGUGGCUAAUACCGCAUGAGAUCUACGGAUGAAAGCAGGGGAUCGCAAGACCUUGUGCUACUAGAGCGGCCGAUGGCAGAUUAGGUAGUUGGUGGGAUAAAAGCUUACCAAGCCGACGAUCUGUAGCUGGUCUGAGAGGGCGAUCAGCCACACUGGGACUGAGACACGGCCCAGACUCCUACGGGAGGCAGCAGUGGGGAAUUUUGGACAAUGGGCGCAAGCCUGAUCCAGCAAUGCCGCGUGCAGGAUGAAGGCCUUCGGGUUGUAAACUGCUUUUGUACGGAACGAAAAGCCCUGGGUUGAUACCCUGGGGUCAUGACGGUACCGUAAGAAUAAGCACCGGCUAACUACGUGCCAGCCGCCGCCGUAA
rnacentral:rRNA from 1 species